GCUUGGGUGGCUCAGUGGGUUGGGCGUCUGACUUCAGCUCAGGUCAUGAUCUCGAGGUUUAUGGGUUCGAGCCCCACACUGGGCU
rnacentral:tRNA from 1 species